rnacentral:rRNA from 1 species
GCUUGAAAUUGUCGGGAGGGAAGCGGAUGGGGGCCGGCGAUGUGCCCCAGUCGGAUGUGGAACGGUGACGAGCCGGUCCGCCGAUCGACUUGGGGCAUGGACCGAUGCGGAUUGAGACGGCGGCCUACGCCCAGGCCUUUGUUACGCCUGUGGAGACGUCGUCGUCCCGAUCGUGGCUGGCAGCGCGCGCCUCCGGGCGGGCUUCGGCAUCUGCGCGCUCCUGGCAUCGGCCUGUGGGCUCCCCAUUCGACCCGUCUUGAAACACGGACCAAGGAGUCUGACAUGUGUGCGAGUUAACGGGCGAGUAAACCCGUAAGGCGCAAGGAAGCUGACUGGUGGGAUCCCCUAGUGGGUUGCACCACCGACCGACCUUGAUCUUCUGAGAAGGGUUCGAGUG